ensembl:misc_RNA
AUUACAGCCAACUCUAUUUAAAAAUUUUAGAACAUUAAUUUUUCUCCUUUUUGAUAAUAUUCAAUGAAAACACUUGGGAAAAUAUCCAC